AUUGAACGCUGGCGGCAGGCUUAACACAUGCAAGUCGAGCGGGGAAAGGUAGCUUGCUACCUAACCUAGCGGCGGACGGGUGAGUAAUGCUUAGGAAUCUGCCUAUUAGUGGGGGACAACAUUCCGAAAGGAAUGCUAAUACCGCAUACGCCCUACGGGGGAAAGCAGGGGAUCUUCGGACCUUGCGCUAAUAGAUGAGCCUAAGUCAGAUUAGCUAGUUGGUGGGGUAAAGGCCUACCAAGGCGACGAUCUGUAGCGGGUCUGAGAGGAUGAUCCGCCACACUGGGACUGAGACACGGCCCAGACUCCUACGGGAGGCAGCAGUGGGGAAUAUUGGACAAUGGGCGAAAGCCUGAUCCAGCCAUGCCGCGUGUGUGAAGAAGGCCUUUUGGUUGUAAAGCACUUUAAGCGAGGAAGAGGCUACUUGGAUUAAUAUUCUAGGAUAGUGGACGUUACUCGCAGAAUAAGCACCGGCUAACUCUGUGCCAGCAGCCGCAGUAACAC
rnacentral:rRNA from 1 species